AUUGAACGCUGGCGGAAUGCUUUACACAUGCAAGUCGAGCGGCAGCGCGGGGGCAACCCUGGCGGCGAGCGGCGAACGGGUGAGUAACAUAUCGGAACGUACCCAGUCGUGGGGGAUAACUAUCCGAAAGGAUAGCUAAAUACCGCAUACGUCCUGAGGGAGAAAGCGGGGGAUCGCAAGACCUCGCGCGAUUGGAGCGGCCGAUAUCGGAUUAGCUAGUUGGUGGGGUAAAGGCUCACCAAGGCGACGAUCCGUAGCGGGUCUGAGAAGACGACCCGCCACACUGGAACUGAGACACGGUCCAGACUCCUACGGGAGGCAGCAGUGGGGAAUUUUGGACAAUGGGGGCAACCCUGAUCCAGCCCAUUCCGCGUGAGUGAAGAAGGCCUCGGUUGUAAG
rnacentral:rRNA from 1 species